rnacentral:misc_RNA from 1 species
GAUGAGAACGUAGCGAAAUGCGAUAAGUAGUGUGAAUUGCAGAAUUCAGUGAAUCAUCGAAUCUUUGAACGCACAUUGCGCCCUUUGGUAUUCCUUAGGGCAUGCCUGUUCGAGCGUCAUUUAAACCUUCAAGCUAAGCUUGGUGUUGGGUGACUGUCCGCUUCACUGCGGACUCGCCUCAAAAUUAUUGGCGGCCGGUACAUUGGCUUCGAGCGCAGCAGAAACGCGAACUCGGGCCCGUCGUAUUGGCUCCCAGAAGCUAUCUUCACAAUUUUGACCUCGGAUCAGGUAGGGAUACCCGCUGAACUUAAGCAUAUCAAAAGCGGAGGA